AUUGAAAAGUAUUCAAAACGAUCGGUAUCGACGGUAAUCAAAUAUGUCUUACCAGGUUUUUGGUUUAGUGGGUUACCACUGACUAAAAUCACGUCUUAUCAUGUAUCUCAGAUUUAUAACGUUAUUGGUACGUCCAAAUCGGUAUUAUGGUAACCUCAGUAUACCUGAUAUUUGGUAAGACACAUUUGAAAUCACGCCAAAACUGAUUUUUUUAAACUAGGUAAAUUUAAAAAAAAAACUAAUUUUUUCAAUGUGACACAACUAUAGAAUUAGGGGAAAAUGUUGACAACCCCCAUUGUCCAUUUUUUUGUAAAAAAUAAUUAAGCGAUUUCUAAGACUUGUGUCUUGAAAGUGUUUAAAACUAGCCACUGCCCAGUUUCUAAAUAACUAAUAUUAUACAAGUAAAAUUAGCAAUGAUAACGGAAAUAUUAUACUAUUUUUAGAAUGUGAAUAUAAAAUACGACUUAUUGACAAAAACAAUUUCUUUCUCUCGU